GCUUGUCUCAAAGAUUAAGCCAUGCAUGUCUAAGUGUAAAUAAGUCUAUACUGUGAAACUGCGAAUGGCUCAUUAAAUCAGUUAUCGUUUAUUUGAUGAUCUCUUACUACUUGGAUAACCGUAGUAAUUCUAGAGCUAAUACAUGCGUCAAGUCCCUACCGCGCGAGCGGGAAGGAUGUGUUUAUUAGAUACAAUCAACCCUUCGGGUGCUUGGUGAAUCAUAAUAACCGAACGAACCGCAUGCGCAAGCGGCGGUGGUUCAUUCAAGUUUCUGCCCUAUCAGCUUUCGAUGGUAGGGUAUUGGCCUACCAUGGCUUUAACGGGUAACGGAGAAUUAGGGUUCGAUUCCGGAGAGGGAGCCUGAGAGAUGGCUACCACAUCCAAGGAAGGCAGCAGG
rnacentral:rRNA from 1 species